CAACAGCCCCGUACACCUCC
rnacentral:miRNA from 1 species